rnacentral:rRNA from 2 species
AGCCCAGCACUGAAUCCCGUCGUUGUCACGGCGGCGGGAGAUGUGGUGUUCGGGAGGUUCCGCUUUCUCGUCGUUGUCUUCUCCUGUCCAAGUUCGUCUUGAACGGGGCCGUUUUCCCGUAGAGGGUGCCAGGCCCGUAGCGACGGAGGACGGCGGCGAGAGGGACUCUCCUCAGAGUCGGGUUGCUUGAGAGUGCAGCCCUAAGUGGGUGGUAAACUCCAUCUAAGGCUAAAUAUUACCGCGAGACCGAUAGCGAACAAGUACCGU